rnacentral:rRNA from 1 species
CGCGUAGGCGGUUUGAUCAGUUAGGCGUGAAAUUCCUGGGCUUAACCUGGGGACUGCGCUUAAUACGGUCGAGCUUGAGUUCGGAAGAGGGUAGUGGAAUUCCCAGUGUAGAGGUGAAAUUCGUAGAUAUUGGGAAGAACACCGGUGGCGAAGGCGGCUACCUGGUCCGAUACUGACGCUGAGGCGCGAAAGCGUGGGGAGCAAACAGGAUUAGAUACCCUGGUAGUCCACGCUGUAAACGAUGUGUGCUGGAUGUUGGGCGACCUAGUCGCUCAGUGUCGUAGCUAACGCGAUAAGCACACCGCCUGGGGAGUACGGCCGCAAGGUUGAA